UUUAAUUUUUCCCCCCUCUUUGGACUCAUCUUCUUCCCUAAUCUUCUUCAUCCAUAGAAAACCUAGAAACAACACCAUCAUCAUCUUCAUCCAUACAAAGCUAGAAACUAUCACCCUCAUCUUCUCCUAAAUUUGUUCGUUGAUCGAUUAAAUCCAUCCAUCUCGGUAACUAGAGAAUAAAUUUUGGUGCUUUCAUUGCGCGGGUAUGAACGAGUUGGAGGAAGCGAUUCAAAGCAUCAACAUAAAGAAAUUGAAGAAAUUCAUGGAAGAUGAAGAAAUACGCCACAGUUGGUUGCAUUUGCAAUCUCGCGUAUGGAUUGGGUUGAAGCCCAAUUGGUUGCACUUCAAGCGACGCGACUCUUCGUUAAUCACCAUCCAGAGCCUAUGCAUCUACAAAUUUGGAGCUUCGCACCCAAUUCUACUAAGGUAUGCUUCAAUCCAUAAUUACCCAAUUUUAUUUUUGGUUUCAUGUUUGAUUCUAUAGCGCCCGUUACAUGUUUGAUUAAAUGACUCUUAGGGCCCGUUUGGUGCACAGGAUAAGAGACAGGAUAUGAUAACUGUAUCAUAUCCUGCCGCAAUCCAGUGUUUGGUGAUACAGCAG
rnacentral:lncRNA from 1 species